UUUUUUUUUUUUUUUUUUUUGAGACGAGUCUUGCUCUGUCAUCCAGCGUGGGGUGGAGUGCAAUGGCACAAUCUCGGCUCCCUGCAACCUCCACCUCCCGGGUUCUGUGCGAUUCUUCCACCUCAGUCUCCCCAGUAGCUGGGAUUACAGAUGCCCGCCACCAUGCCCAGCUAAUUUUUGUAUUUUUUUUUUUUUUUAGUAGAGACAGGGUUUCACCAUGUUGGCCAGGCUGGUCUCGAACCCCUGACCUCAGGUGAUCCACCCGCCUGGGCCUCCCAAAGUGCUGGGAUUACAGGCGUGAGCCACGGCGCCUGGCGGGGAUCCUGCCUUUCUUUGGAAGUAUUGUGAUAGCAACCACGCACGUUGUGCUCUGUCCUUGGUCCUGAAGAGACCAGCGUGCGUUUCUUGAGACCAGGGACACUGGUUAGUGACUCUUCUCUCGGUAACUCUGAACCAGGUGAGAAUUGCCAUUUUUAACCUUGAGAUAUAGCAGUACUGUUUGCAUCUUGCAACCCUCCUCUCCUUGGGCUGCUGGCUGUACUCACUCUCCAGGGAUUGUAGUUAUAGCUCCUGACUCCACAUAGCAAGCCUGCAGGGCACACCUACCAGCCUUGACCCCACCACACCCA
rnacentral:lncRNA from 1 species